UACGUAGGGGGCAAGCGUUGUCCGGAUUUAUUGGGCGUAAAGCGCGUGUAGGCGGCCAGGUAGGUCUGCUGUGAAAACUCGAGGCUCAACCUCGAGAUGUCGGCGGAAACCAUCUGGCUAGAGUCCGGAAGAGGAGAGUGGAAUUCCCGGUGUAGCGGUGAAAUGCGCAGAUAUCGGGAAGAACACCCGUGGCGAAGGCGGCUCACUGGACCACAACUGACGCUGAGGCGGCG
rnacentral:rRNA from 1 species